rnacentral:rRNA from 1 species
UACAGAGGGUGCAAGCGUUAAUCGGAAUUACUGGGCGUAAAGCGCGCGUAGGUGGUUCGUUAAGUUGGAUGUGAAAUCCCCGGGCUCAACCUGGGAACUGCAUUCAAAACUGUCGAGCUAGAGUAUGGUAGAGGGUGGUGGAAAUUUCCUGUGUAGCGGUGAAAUGCGUAGAUAUAGGAAGGAACACCAAUGGCGAAGGCGACCACCUGGACUGAUACUGACACUGAGGUGCGAAAGCGUGGGGAGCAAACAGGA